rnacentral:rRNA from 1 species
AGCGCAGGCGGGAAGACAAGUUGGAAGUGAAAACCAUGGGCUCAACCCAUGAAUUGCUUUCAAAACUGUUUUUCUUGAGUAGUGCAGAGGUAGAUGGAAUUCCCGGUGUAGCGGUGAAAUGCGUAGAUAUUGGGAAGAACACCAGUGGCGAAGGCGGCUUUCUGGACUGUAACUGACGCUGAGGCUCGAAAGCUAGGGUAGCGAACG